rfam:Triticum urartu cultivar G1812 contig712521, whole genome shotgun sequence.
AGAUUACUCCCUCCGUUCAGAAUUACUUGUCGCAGAAAUAGAUUUAUCUAGACGUAUUUUAGUUCUAGAUACAUCCAUUUCCGAGACAAGUAAUUCCGAACAGAGGGAGUAGAUA